AAACCGUUCAGGGGUAAACCUAAGAAACCCAAAAGAUCGAAUGGGGAGAUUCAUCGUCGACGGCGCUGGCUACCGUUGGUGCGCGAUGCUCCGGGUGGGCCCUUGCGGUUCCAUUAGCGUGUGGCACACCACCUUCGGAUCGAACGUUCCGGCGUCGUAGUCGUGCACUUCUCCCCUAGUAGGACGUCGCGACCCGUUGUGUGUCGGUCUACGGCCCGAGUGGGCGCCUGUCGCGUCGUUUCGGCGCACGCGGCAGACCCUCGGUCGCCCGGCCGGCUGCACGACGGUACACUCACGGUAUCGGGCCGCAACCAGUCCAUUCUCGAAUGUGUGUGCGUCCAACCCGCCGCAAGCUCGGUCAGUUCUUACCCGGAGGUACGGACCCUGUGCCGUCCCCGGGCCUGGCCAGCUGUUAGCAGGCGGUGUCCUCGGACUGGCCAAAUCUCAGAUUACCGGUCAGCGACGCUAUUGCUUUGGGUACUCUCAGGACCCGUCUUGAAACACGGACCAAGGAGUCUAACAUGUGCGCGAGUCAUUGGGAUGCAUAAACCUAAAGGCGAAAUGAAAGUGAAAGUCGGCCUUCGCGCCGAUCGAGGGAGGAUGGGCCGCGUAACCAUGCGGCCUCGCACUCCCGGGGCGUCUCGUUCUCAUUGCGAGAAGAGGCGCACCUAGAGCGUACACGUUGGGACCCGAAAGAUGGUGAACUAUGCCUGGUCAGGACGAAGUCAGGGGAAACCCUGAUGGAGGUCCGUAGCGAUUCUGACGUGCAAAUCGAUCGUCGGAACUGGGUAUAGGGGCGAAAGACUAAUCGAA
rnacentral:rRNA from 2 species